UAAAAACCCCGACUUCGGAAGGGGUGUAUUUAUUAGAUACAAAACCAAUGCCCUUCGGGGCUCUUUGGUGAUUCAUGAUAACUAUACGAAUCGCACGGCCUUGCGCCGGCGAUGGUUCAUUCAAAUUUCUUCCCUAUCAACUUUCGAUGUUUGGGUAUUGGCCAAACAUGGUUGCAACGGGUAACGGAGGGUUAGGGCUCGACCCCGGAGAAGGAGCCUGAGAAACGGCUACUACAUCCAAGGAAGGCAGCAGGCGCGCAAAUUACCCAAUCCCGACUCGGGGAGGUAGUGACAAUAAAUACUGAUACAGGGCCCUUUCGGGCCUUGUAAUUGGAAUGAGUACAAUUUAAAUCCCUUAACGAGGAACAAUUGGAGGGCAAGUCUGGUGCCAGCAGCCGCGGUAAUUCCAGCUCCAAUAGCGUAUAUUAAAGUUGUUGUGGUUAAAAAGCUCGUAGUUGAACCUUGGGCCUGGCUGGCCGGUCCGCCUCACCGCGUGCACUGGUCCGGCCGGUCCUUUCCCUCUGUGGAAUCCAUACACUUUACUGGGCAUGGCGAGAAAACAGGAAAGUUACUUAG
rnacentral:rRNA from 1 species